CUCUAGUCCCCCUUGAAUUAGGAUAAGUUUGGUUCAUGUUCAAAUUCAAGUGGUUUGAAUUUGACUUAAAACAACCUAGUUCUUAUCCUUAUCCUAUGCUUGUCACCUCCUCCAUGAAAGGGCUGAUCAUUUGUACGAUAAAUGAGAAGGAAAUUAUGUAAGAAAUGUCUCAUGCCUCAGCCCUUCUGAUGCCUCUCUUAGAUAAGGAUCAAGUGGUUGGAGUUUGAAUUUGAACUAAAUCAAACUACCUGAUCCUUAUCCUAUCUCAUCUCCACACCAAGCUUAAAAACUUUGAUUUUUGUGCAACAAAGGAUGGGAAUUUUACUAUGGAAAUUGGUUUUUGAGAGAGAGGG
rnacentral:lncRNA from 1 species